rnacentral:tRNA from 1 species
GGGAAGGUGGCUCAGUGGUAGAGUGCUUGCCUUGCAUGCAUGAGGCCCUGGGUUCGAUUCUUGUUUUUUUU